UUUGUGUCAUGGCUUCACCUGAAUGCAUGACUCUGCAACCUUAGGACUUGCAGAAUUAACAGAAUGCCGUCCUGAGCUUGUCGAGCUAUGCGUUUCUGGGCAUUUCAUCUCUACAGA
rnacentral:pre_miRNA from 14 species